CUUCCAUUUGAUUAAGUAUUGAGUGCAAGGAGGAACACCUCUCCGUCUCACCACUCGAUCCGCCAAAAUGGAUUCAACCUCUUUCUCAAAAGAUUUUGUGACGAUGGGAGGCGCUCUCUUUGAUUUGAUUCUCCCUAGAUCCUCCAAGUCCGGCCUAUGUGGUUUCAACAUGCUUACACGAAAAAUCGGGUGGAUCUUUAAAGUGCUUGGAAGAUCAAGACGAUAGGAAACUCUUCAAACCUUCGCUAGGAUGGGGAAUGGACCUUCAUAUUUUCUAACUAAGCCCUUGUAAACUUUGCGGUAGGCUUUGAAUUGUUGAGGCAACACUUUCACAAGUACUUGAUCUCCAAUGUUGAAUUCCAAUGGUCUUCGUCUCACAUCGGCCCAUUUCUUCAUUCGCUUCCGGGCUUUCUCCAAGCAAGAUCUUGCUAAGUCCACAUGAUCUCCCCAUGACUUAGCCAUUUUGAUUGCUCCAGGACUUCGGUUAGAGUCACCAACCAUAGAUAAUGUGUGGGGCGUUGUAGGUUGUCGCCCUGUUGCAAGCUCAAAUGGACUAUGUCCCGUGGAUUCACUUUUCUGCAACUUGUAGGAAAACUGGGCUAUGUCCAUCAACUUCGCCCAAUCCCGUUGAUUAACACUAAUAAAGUGCCGAAGAUAACACUCCAACAAUGCGUUCACCCGUUCCGUUUGUCCAUCUGUUUGAGGGUGAAAACUACUUGAAAAGUGCAAAUUCGAUCCAAGGAGUUUAAACAACUCCGUCCACAAUUUCCCCGUGAAGCGGGGAUCCUGAUCACUUACAAUAUGCUUCGGCAACCCCCAAUACUUCACAACAUUUUUGAAGAAUAACCUUGCCAACUCCUUCGCAGUGCAAUCCUUAGGGGCUGGAAUGAAAGUAGCAUACUUGGAAAACCGAUCAACAACAAUUAUUGAUCCGAACCCUUCGAACUUUGGCAAGGCACUAAUGAAAUCCAUGAUGACCACGUCCCAUGGUUGAUCCGGAAUAGGAAGCGGAUUAAGAAGUCUCGCCGGUAAUUUAUUCUCCACUUUGUCUUGUUGGCACACAAGACAUGUCCG
rnacentral:lncRNA from 1 species